rnacentral:rRNA from 1 species
GAUGAACGCUGGCGGCGUGCCUAAUACAUGCAAGUCGAGCGAACAGAUGAGAAGCUUGCUUCUCUGAUGUUAGCGGCGGACGGGUGAGUAACACGUGGGUAACCUACCUAUAAGACUGGGAUAACUCCGGGAAACCGGGGCUAAUACCGGAUAAUAUUUUGAACCGCAUGGUUCAAUAGUGAAAGACGGUUUCGGCUGUCACUUAUAGAUGGACACGCGCCGUAUUAGCCAGUUGGUAAGGUAACGGCUUACCAAGGCGACGAUACGUAGCCGACCUGAGAGGGUGAUCGGCCACACUGGAACUGAGACACGGUCCAGACUCCUACGGGAGGCAGCAGUAGGGAAUCUUCCGCAAUGGGCGAAAGCCUGACGGAGCAACGCCGCGUGAGUGAUGAAGGUCUUCGGAUCGUAAAACUCUGUUGUUAGGGAAGAACAAAUUUGUUAGUAACUGAACAAGUCUUGACGGUACCUAACCAGAAAGCCACGGCUAACUACGUGCCAGCCGCCGCGGUAA